rnacentral:rRNA from 1 species
UACAGAGGUGGCAAGCGUUGUUCGGAAUUACUGGGCGUAAAGGGCGCGUAGGCGGUCCGAUAAGUCCUGUGUGAAAUCCCUCGGCUCAACUGAGGAACUGCACGGGAGACUGUCGGGCUUGAGUUCGGGAGAGGGAAGCGGAAUUCCGGGUGUAGCGGUGAAAUGCGUAGAUAUCCGGAGGAACACCGGUGGCGAAGGCGGCUUCCUGGACCGACACUGACGCUGAGGCGCGAAAGCUAGGGGAGCAAACCGG